rnacentral:rRNA from 1 species
CCUGAUGCAGCAACGCCGCUUGAAGGACGACGGCCUUCGGGUUGUAAACUCUUUUAGCAGGGAGAAGCGAAAGUGACGGUACCUGCAGAAAAAGCGCCGGCUAACUACGUGCCAGCAGCCGCGGUAAUACGUAGGGCGCAAGCGUUAUCCGGAAUUAUUGGGCGUAAAGAGCUCGUAGGCGGUUUGUCGCGUCUGCUGUGAAAUCCCGAGGCUCAACCUCGGGUCUGCAGUGGGUACGGGCAGACUAGAGUGCGGUAGGGGAGAUUGGAAUUCCUGGUGUAGCGGUGGAAUGCGCAGAUAUCAGGAGGAACACCGAUGGCGAAGGCAGAUCUCUGGGCCGUAACUGACGCUGAGGAGCGAAAGGGUGGGGAGCAAACAGGCUUAGAUACCCUGGUAGUCCACCCCGUAAACGUUGGGAACUAGUUGUGGGGUCCAUUCCACGGAUUCCGUGACGCAGCUAACGCAUUAAGUUCCCCGCCUGGGGAGUACGGCCGCAAGGCUAAAACUCAAAGGAAUUGACGGGGACCCGCACAAGCGGCGGAGCCUGCGGAUUAAUUCGAUGCAACGCGAAGAACCUUACCAAGGCUUGACAUAUACGAGAACGGGCCAGAAAUGGUCAACUCUUUGGACACUCGUAAACAGGUGGUGCAUGGUUGUCGUCAGCUCGUGUCGUGAGAUGUUGGGUUAAGUCCCGCAACGAGCGCAACCCUCGUUCUAUGUUGCCAGCACGUAAUGGUGGGAACUCAUGGGAUACUGCCGGGGUCAACUCGGAGGAAGGUGGGGAUGACGUCAAAUCAUCAUGCCCCUUAUGUCUUGGGCUUCACGCNUGCUACAAUGGCCGGUACAAAGGGCUGCAAUACCGUAAGGUGGAGCGAAUCCCAAAAAGCCGGUCCCAGUUCGGAUUGAGGUCUGCAACUCGACCUCAUGAAGUCGGAGUCGCUAGUAAUCGCAGAUCAGCAACGCUGCGGUGAAUACGUUCCCGGGUCUUGUACACACCGCCCGUCAAGUCAUGAAAGUCGGUAACACCUGAAGCCGGUGGCCCAACCCUUGUGGAGGGAGCC